rnacentral:rRNA from 1 species
UACAGAGGGGGCAAGCGUUGUUCGGAAUUACUGGGCGUAAAGGGCGCGUAGGCGGCCUGCUAAGUCGAACGUGAAAUCCCCGAGCUCAACUCGGGAACUGCGUCCGAUACUGACAGGCUUGAAUCCGGGAGAGGGAUGCGGAAUUCCAGGUGUAGCGGUGAAAUGCGUAGAUAUCUGGAGGAAUACCGGUGGCGAAGGCGGCAUCCUGGACCGAGAUUGACACUGAUGAGCGAAGGCUAGGGGAGCAAACGGG